rnacentral:tmRNA from 5 species
GGGGGCGACUGGUUUCGACGAAGAUACUGAACCCUUUGGUGCAUGUCGGGCAGGCACGCCCGUUACCCAGGCCAUUUGCAAUAAUUGCAAACGACGACGUAGAACUAGCUUACGCUGCGUAAGUUACCCCGCUCGCGAUGUGUCCAUUCAUUUCGAAUCCGGGGCCAAUUAAAUGGAAUCGCCACACAGGGUUGUUGACUCGUGAUCAUGUGGGUUAAAAAGCAACGGAUCGACUCUCCGGGUACUUUGUCUGUUAAGUUUCCGAAGAGUGCUGAAUUAACAGACUAAACAUGUAGAUCCAUUGGCUGAUGGUUUUCGGACGUGGGUUCGAAUCCCACCGCUUCCACCA